rnacentral:RNase_P_RNA from 1 species
GACGUGCGAGUGAGGAUCGCCAUCGGACGGGUUCGCCCGGACCGUUGGAGGAAAGUCCGAGCUCCGAAGGGCAGGGUGCCGGGUAACGCCCGGGCGGCGAAAGCCGACGGAAAGUGCCACAGAGAGCAGACCGCCGAUGGCCCUUCGGGGCACAGGUAAGGGUGAAAGGGUGCGGUAAGAGCGCACCGGGUUCCCGGUAACGGGAAUCGCUUGGCAAACCCCACCCGGAGCAAGACCAAGCAGGGACGAGGAGCGGCCCGCUCCAUCCGAGUCCCGGGUAGGUCGCUUGAGCCCGGCGGCAACGUCGGGCCCAGAGAAAUGAUCCUCCCCCGGCUUGCCGGGGACAGAACUCGGCUUAUUCCGCACGCCUCCC